rnacentral:rRNA from 1 species
AGCAGUCGCCACGGGAAUACGGAGGGUGCAAGCGUUAUCCGGAUUCACUGGGUUUAAAGGGUGCGUAGGCGGAUCUGUAAGUCAGUGGUGAAAUCUCCAGGCUUAACCUGGAAACUGCCGUUGAUACUAUAGGUCUUGAAUUUUGUGGAGGUUAGCGGAAUAUGUCAUGUAGCGGUGAAAUGCAUAGAUAUGACAUAGAACACCAAUUGCGAAGGCAGCUGGCUACACAACUAUUGACGCUGAGGCACGAAAGCGUGGGGAUCAAACAGGAUUAGAUACCCCCGUAGUCCCUGUCUUCUUAUA